UCUCUAAAAGCCAAAAAUUGGUCAACAGUCAAACCAAAGAAAUUAAACUCUGCUUUUGAGCGGACUCGGGUAAACUCCGAGGAUCUCUCCUUUUUCUGGCACUCUCUUCUUCAGAUCAGGCUCCUAGUCACCAAUUAACAGUUUUAUGGGAGAUUACGCAAAACUUUCCAAGAACUUUGGAGGCUCCACUGCUGCACUUGCAUUCACCAGUUAGGGUAGAAGUCCUUGCACAGAAAUUUGAUGGAAUGGAUGAUUUGACAUCUAAAUAAGAUGGGAACAAGUUCUAUAAGAUCUUUUAUGGUGCAUUUGAUGGCCAAUUUGCUGCAAUAGACGCAAUCCUAAUUGGUAAAGAGUCAUUUGUGCUUGAGGGUGAACAAGUGUGGAAAUGCCUUCUUGGACAGCAGUCGAUCAAGAAAUAGCAGGAUUUAGCUGAAGAUGCUUUGCAUUUAAAAGGAACUACUGUAGUGGGGGAGGACAGGAUCACUGGAAGAACUGCAGAUUGUGUUGAAUAUUAUUCCGUAUUUGUGGCUCAGCGGACUAAACAGUGACACAAGAUUCUCCCAGGGGAUAAGAAAAUGGUUAAUGAUUGGACACGUAAGAAGUCACUCAUCUUUGACAUGAAACCGUUGACCCAUAUAAAGUUUAGUUAGACACAAGUAAAAAAAAAAAAAAAAAGAACAAUUAAGAUUUCUCUAUUGCAAUUGCUUGCAAAUUUUUGUGGGAUGCCUUCCUGGUGCUCUGAUUCGAUGGUUACCACGCGCUACAUAAGCGCUUGGGAUAAUUUGAACAGAAGUGGUUUGCCAGCUGGCCGUACUAUGUGGAUUGGGUUAUGCAUGUGAUUUAAACACGUGUUCUGGAGCUCGUGACUACAACAGCGACGGAUUCAAGCAAAAGCCUGUUCUCACCUUUCUCGUGACUUUUUUGGAUCCCUGAAUAGGCCCCACUCUUAUCUUUGUCCUUUCGGAUCUGCCUCAGUUUGUGGGCUUCCAUCAGCCCAUUUUAAAUUAAACACUUCCUACUCUGCACCUCCACUUUGUAGCCUUGGCCCAAUACUUGCAUUUUCAUAUUUACCAUAACUUUAAUUCCACGGGAAUUAGGACAUGAGAUGGUAGGGUUUCUUGCUUCAGGCAUUACUGUAACUAAAAACACGGAUAGAAAUAUUAAUGUGUUAUCAUGUAAUUAAGUAUUAUUUUAUUUAUAAUUCAGAAGCAUUCUAAUCA